CGCUGCGGCCCAGGCUCCUCCCCGCGCGGGGCAUGGUGCCGUCCUUGCCCGCGUGCAGCCGGGAGCUCACGGAGGACAGGCUCUCGGCCCGCUCCAGGGAGAGGCAUUCGUAGUGGCUGACUGUCGCCCUGCCCAGCGAGUUGCUUCUGCUGGCCAGCUGCUCCAGCUUGGCACUGAAGAGCUUGCUGCUGCUGCUGGCGUCCUUCGUCUUGCCGCUAGGCUCGUCUGGGAGGCCCGCCGGGAAGGCGGCUGGUUGGUUCAGGGGGCUGCUGGUGCCGCUGCCGCUGGCACUGUGCUGAGGGCUGGCCCGGUUCUUCUGGUCCAGGCUGGACUUUCGGACAGGGGGCAGAGGGGGAGUCCCUUUGGGCCGAGCCAGAACACAGUGCUUGGGGGAAGCCACCUUCCCCUCCAGGG
rnacentral:lncRNA from 1 species